GACGAACCGUCCAAACGUUGUUCGGAAUCACUGGGCUUAAAGGGCGCGUAGGCGGGUCAUCAAGUCGGGGGUGAAAUCUUUCAGCUCAACUGGAAAAGAGCUUCCGAUACUGGUGGUCUCGAGGGAGGUAGGGGUCGAUGGAACUUCCGGUGGAGCGGUGAAAUGCGUAGAUAUCAGGAGGAACACCGGUGGCGAAGGCGGGUCUCUGGGCCGAUACUGACGCUGGAGGAGCGAAAGCGUGGGGAGCGAACAGG
rnacentral:rRNA from 1 species